GAAUCAUGGCUCAGGAUGAACGCUGGCGGCGUGCCUAACACAUGCAAGUCGAACGAGGUAAAUAAGAGGAAGUUUUCGGAUGGAAUCGUAUUUACCGAGUGGCGGACGGGUGAGUAACGCGUGGAUAACCUGCCUCAUACAGGGGGAUAACAGUUAGAAAUGACUGCUAAUACCGCAUAAGCGCACAGUACCGCAUGGUACGGUGUGAAAAACUCCGGUGGUAUGAGAUGGAUCCGCGU
rnacentral:rRNA from 1 species